AUUGAACGCUGGCGGCAUGCCUUACACAUGCCAGUCGAACGGCGGCGCGGGAGCAAUCCUGGCGGCGAGUGGCGAACGGGUGAGUAAUACAUCGGAACGUGCCCAAUCGUGGGGGAUAACGCAGCGAAAGCUGUGCUAAUACCGCAUACGAUCUACGGAUGAAAGCAGGGGAUCGCAAGACCUUGCGCGAAUGGAGCGGCCGAUGGCAGAUUAGGUAGUUGGUGAGGUAAAGGCUCACCAAGCCUUCGAUCUGUAGCUGGUCUGAGAGGACGACCAGCCACACUGGGACUGAGACACGGCCCAGACUCCUACGGGAGGCAGCAGUGGGGAAUUUUGGACAAUGGGCGAAAGCCUGAUCCAGCCAUGCCGCGUGCAGGAUGAAGGCCUUCGGGUUGUAAACUGCUUUUGUACGGAACGAAACGGUCUUUUCUAAUAAAGAAGGCUAAUGACGGUACCGUAAGAAUAAGCACCGGCUAACUACGUG
rnacentral:rRNA from 1 species